GCGAAAUCUUUUCUUCUUCCUAGGGGGGUAUCACAGAAAUUUAUUGAGAAGCACUGAUUUAAGCUAUGGAAGCAUGCACUCUUGUGUGAAUUAACAUUACAUGUAUCCUCCAAGCGUUGGCCUGUUUUUCUUCACUGCACUUCAGCUGUUAUGUCCUUAUUCCUUACAUAAUGUCUGUGCCAAGCUGUGGCUACUGUAUCAAAUAGUGGCGUAAGUUGUCUUUGUGUUUCCAAAAAAGCACAAUAUAAAUGUUGUGCAGUAUUAUUAUGAUGUUUAUCUCAUAUUCCACAACAUUAUUCAAUUAUUACACUCUCACUGGGUCACUGUAAAUAAAAUUGACAGCAGAAACUUAAAAAUGACUGUUUUAAUUUAAGUAUGAAUUCAUCUUUAUUGACAAACUUUCAUAUUUUAGGCAGCUAUUGUUAUUAAAGAUUAUAAAACCAGCUGGUAACUCAUGAUUGUGUAGAUAGUAGAGUCAUGCAACAGUACAUUUAUGAUUGGGUUCAAAAAAGAGUACCUUGAAACAAGAAAAAAAGCAGAGAGCACUUUCAAUGUGUAGCAAAAGAUUGCUCGUUUAUGUGGGAGGUACAGGGCUUUCAGAGAUUGCUUUUAUAUAUAACAGCACAAGUGUAAGUCAAAAUAGCUACUGAGUGCUCUUCAAAUAUUAACACCGUACUAAAGGUUAUUUGUGCCUAAUACGGAUACAUUUUCAAUCUACUUAUGUGGUAGAGUGUGACCACAUGUAAAAUACCCAUUGGUAAGCUCAAAACCACAAAAAGUUAAAUAAAUUCUUGACUCGAUUUAAACAAUUUUUUUUAAUGCUAAAACAUAUUACCUACCCAACUGACUUUGUGUGUGUGUGUGUGUGUGCGUGUGUGCGUGUGUGCGUGUGCGUGCGUGCGUGUGUGUGAAGGGUGGUAUAAUCAUGUUUCAGUGAAGCUACAUGAAAAAUGUACACCUGUAUUGGAGAUUCAACAGUAUUUUUGGAAUACUUGGGUGGGGGGGUGCAAAAAGUAUUAUCCAUUUAUUCAUUCAUUCAUUCAUCUUCCGAAGAGCUUAUCCUCAUGAGUGUCACAGGUGUGCUGGAGCCUGUCACAGGUGUGCUGGAGCCUGUCCCAGCGGUCUUUGGUGGGGUAGACCCUUAACUACUCGCCAGCCAAUUGAAGUGCAUACAGAUAAACAGUUACAAUCACAUCUAUGGACAAUUUACAGCAGACAUGUCCAAAGUCCAGCCCUCGGGCCAAAUGCGCCCCGUGUCUAAAUUUAAACUGGCCCAAAGCAUUGUAUCAAAUCAAUAAUAAGUGGCCCGCUGGCACUGUCGCGGGAACCUGCACGCCCCAGAGCGAGCCACAGAAAUGACACUCGUCCUAACGGGAACGCGCACAUGACCCAGCGCUCAUGAUCGGUUGCGAGCGUGUCUCCUCCGUCCCUUCCCAGUUCACGUGCACACAAGUGUCCAUUUGCAAGAUAAUCAGUGACACAGACACUUCCUCAUUCAAAUGUCCACACUCUAAGGCGCCGCUAAAAUCAGAGAUGCUGCAUAGGGAAAGGCAAAAAAAAAAAAAAAACCACGGACUACUGGAGAGAACUGUCUACUUCGUAUUAACUCUUCACACUACUACGCAUCUGCGCUGCACACUCGCAGUGAUCGCAAACAACUAUUAAACUAAGACUAUGGAUUAUUUUGUGAAUGAAUUCAAUGCGACAUUGUUAAAUGCCAUUGACUCUGUGGCGCCGUUACGUCUGAAAACUCGCCGUAGAGUGCCUACUCCGUGGUUCACAGAUGAAACACGUACGCUUAAGCAAUUAUGUAGAAAGCAUGAGCGCAGAUGGCGUCUAACCAAACUUGAGGUUUUCCAUCAGGCAUGGCAGGAUAGCCUCCUGAAAUAUAAAGAUGCGCUUAUCUUAGCAAAAACUCGGUAUUUUUCGCAAGUUAUUAAUCUCAAUAAAAACAAUCCGAAACACCUAUUUGAUACAGUGGCAAAGCUGACUCUGCGCCACCCGACCCCCGAUAGUUCCUUCCACUCAGCUGUUCAUGAAAUUUUUUGCUCAAAAGAUUGAAUCCAUUAGGGAUGAGAUCAAGAAUACCAUUCCAAUCGCUCGGUCGAGCCCGCCGUUUACCAACGCUGAUGAUCAUGCAACAACCCUCUCAACUUUUAAAAGCGUGUCUCUUGAAAGGCUUACACAAUUGGUUAGUGCGGCUAAACAAACAACAUGUUUUCUCGACCCUCAUCCAGCUAAACUACUUAAAGAAUUAUCUCAAAUUUUUAGGAAACCGCUAUCAUUAAACCGUUACUUAAGCGACCAAAUCUUGACCCGGACUGUCUCCGUAUGUAUAGGCCAGUUUCAAACCUCCCAUUCAUAGCAAAACUUCUUGAAAAAGUAGUAGCGCAGCAGCUUACUGAUUACAUGGUCGCCAAUAACACUUUUCAGUCUGGUUUUAGAGCUAAUCAUUCCACUGAGACAGCACUUGCUAAAGAGACUAACGAUCUCCUCAUAGCUACGGAUUCAAACACUUCGUCUGUACUGUUACUACUCGAUCUUAGUGCUGCCUUCGACACUGUAGACUUCGAUAUUUUAUUAGGGCGUCUUAAAAGUUGUGUUGGUAUUUCAGGGUCAGCACUAGGCUGGUUCCAUUCCUAUCUAUCAAACAGGACGCACUGAGUGGUCCAUGGUAAUGUGUCCUCGGAGCUCUAUAAUGUUACGUGUGGUGUCCCACAGGGAUCGGUUCUCGGACCAAUUCUUUUUAAUAUUUAUAUGAUUCCGCUUGGGGACAUAAUAUGUAAAUAUAAUAUUAGUUUUCAAUGCUAUGCGGAUGACACCCAAUUAUAUAUGCCGUUAUCGAUGACAGAUCCGCGGGAUUGUUGUAAUCUUGAGGUGUGCCUUGCGGAGAUCAAGCAAUGGAUGUCUCUCAACUUCCUUCGUCUUAACCCAGAUAAAACUGAGAUGUUGAUAAUUGGUCCAACUCGUUAUCAACACUUAUUCAAGGAAACCGCUGUAACUAUAGAUAACCGUACUAUCACUCAAAGCGAUACUGUAACUAAUCUCGGGGUAAUAUUUGACCAAACUCUCUCCUUUCAAAAGCACAUUAAGAAUAUAACCAGAAUUGCGUUUUUUCACCUUCGUAAUAUUGCAAAGAUUCGUCCGAUCCUCUCGACCGGUGAUGCGGAAACUAUUAUACAUGCGUUCGUCACGUCGCGCCUGGACUACUGUAAUGUACUAUUUUCGGGUCUUCCUAAGUCCCGCAUCAAAAGUCUACAGUUAGUACAAAAUGCUGCUGCAAGGCUGCUCUCUCGGACAAGAAAAUUUGAUCACAUUACCCCAAUACUAGCCAACUUAUAUUGGCUCCCGGUCCAUUUAAGAUGUGACUUCAAGGUUCUUCUAUUAACCUAUAAAUCACUGCAUGGCUUAGCGCCUUCAUAUCUCGUCGACCUAGUUGUUCCUUAUGUUCCGUCUCGUAACCUUCGUUCGCAAAACGCUACCCUUUUAGCGACACCGAGGGCCAAGAAAAUGUCUGCAGGCUCUAGAGCAUUUUCUAUUCGGGCUCCAGAGCUUUGGAAUGCCCUACCAAUGGAUAUUAGGACUGCUACCUCAGUAGAAACAUUUAAGACGCGUUUAAAGACACAUUUCUAUGACAUGGCCUUUAACUAACCUGUAGUGGCCGAUUCGGCUGGAGUUUGUUUUCUUUCCCUCUCCACCCCCUCCCCGGCCGGGGAGGUGGUUAGGUGGCACCCAUGCUGACAGCGGCUAUCUGGAUUCUCGUGGGCCAAUUCAGGAUGGGGGAACUGCAGCUCAACCUCCUCGAAGACACUGCCAGGACAAUUGAGGGCUCCUUCGGCAGCCUUCUGCUCUGACAUGGACAUCCACUUUUUAUUUCAUUGACUUUCAUGUUGUAUCAUUUGUGCCCUCUCUGCAUCCAUUUCAACCUGGUGAUCCUGAAAGGGGGAUCUUUCCAUCUGUGGUCCCUUCUCAAGGUUUCUCAUUUUCCCCCGGUAGGGGUUUUUCCUUGCCCUUUUGGGAGCUUAAGAUCAGGGGAUGCUUUGAGAAUAAUUGUCAAUUUCUGUCUAUGUGAAGCCCUUUGAGACUGCUUGUGAUUUAGGGCUAUACAAAUAAACUUGACUUGACUUGACUUGAUUAUGAAGUAAUUUGUUGUGUAUGAUAAAAUGGAAAAUUAUUUCGUUUGGAUUAAAAAUCUGAUAUCAAAUCAAUUUUCAUUUGCCAAGUUUGAGCAUGCCAAACAAGGAAUUUGACUCCGGUACAUCUCGUUCUCUGUACAACAUUUAGGUAGCUAACAACAUUCAGGACGACAUGUGCAAAAAUUGACAAUUAUUCUCAAACAUCCCCUGAUCUUAAACUCCCAGGAGAGCAAGGAAACACUCAAAACUCCUACUAGGGGAAAUGAGAAACCUUGAGAAGAGACCACAGAUGGGAGGAUCCGUCUUCCAGGAUGACCAGGCUGCAAUGGAUGCAGAGAGGACACAUAGUACAAAUAAUAUAGACAAUUCAAAGAUGAAGCGUCGAGAGCAGGAUGCUCUGCUGCCCCUGUGCCUCUCCGCCGACAGCGUGAGGAGGAUGCUUGCCGCUAGCAACAUCCGUAAGGCGGCGGGCCCUGACAACAUCCCGGGUCGAGCGCUGAAGGACUGCGCUGGUGAGCUGUCUUCACAGACAUCUUUAACACUUCCCUGCAGCAGGCCAUCGUCUCAUCGUGUUUCAAAGCUGCCACCAUCGUACCUGUGCCGAAGAAACCUGCUCCGUCCUGCUUCAAUGAGUACCGCCCCGUGGCACUUACGCCCAUCAUCAUGAAGUGCUUUGAGCGGCUUGUCAUGGAGCACAUCCGUUCCGUUCUCCCCCCCACCAUUGACCCCUUCCAGUUUGCGUACCGAGCCAAGCGGUCCACUGAGGAUGCCAUCUGCUCUGCCCUCCACUCGGCCCUCACCCACCUGGAGAGAAGGGACUCGUAUGUGAGAUUGCUGUUUGUGGACUUCAGCCCUGCCUUCAACACCAUUGUGCCACAACGUCUCAUCAGCAAACUUGACAAGCUGGGCCUCAGUACCUAUCUCUGCAACUGGCUACUGGACUUCCUCUGUCAGAGGCCACAGGUAGUACGUGUUGGCGAAAAAAUCUCCGCCAGCAUCACGCUGAGCACGGGGGCCCCCCCAAGGCUGCGUGCUCAGUCCGCUGCUCUUCACCCUCCUGAUGCAUGACUGCACUGCAACCUACAGCGACAACCGUAUAGUGAAGUUUGCUGACGACACGACUCUGGUGGGUCUCAUCACCAAGGGAGACGAGACUCAGUACAGGCUGGAGGUUGACCUUCUGACCAGGUGGUGCAGGGACAACAACCUCCUGCUGAACGUCGCCAAGACCAAGGAGGUUGUUGUUGACUUCCGGAAGGGUCACACCCAACACCUGCCGCUGUCCAUCGACGGUGCUGUGGUGGAGAGAGUGAGCAGCGCCAGGUUCCUGGGGGUGCACAUCAGUGAGGAUCUCUCCUGGUGCACCAACACCGCAUCACUGGCGAAGAAGGCCCAGCGCCGCCUGUACUUCCUGCGGAAACUCAGGCGAGCGAGCGCUCCUCCGGGCGUCAUGACUACAUUUUACCGUGGCACCAUUGAGAGCGUCCUCUCCAGCUGUAUUGCUGUUUGGGGUGGCGGCUGCACUGACUACAACUUGAAGGCCCUGCAGCGCAUAGUGAACACAGCUGGUAAGAUUAUUGGUGCUUCACUCCCCUCCUUGAAAUACAUUUACAUCUCCCAUCUCACCCGCAAGGCGACCACGAUUGUGAGUGACGUGAGUCACCCCGCUCACUCUUUGUUUGAGCUUCUGCCCUCUGGGAAGAGGUAUCGGAGCCUGCAUUCCCGCACCACCAGACUCAACACCAGCUUCAUACUCCAGGCUGUUAGGAUCCUGAACUCGCUUCCCCUUUCUGUGUAGCGUCCUGUACUUUUGCGCUACGCUUACUGUCUGCUGUAGGCACACUGGCUUCGUUUUGCUCCUCUUAUUUAUUGUGUUAUCUGUUUAUUUAUUAUUUAUUAUUUAUUCAUCAUUCUUAUUAUUUAUUGUUUAUGCCUUCUUGUUUUUAUAUUGUGUCGUUUACUUGUAUGUCUAUCGUGUAAUAUGUCUCGUCAGCGUGGGAUAGAGAAAACGUAAUUUCGGUUUCUUUGUGUGUCUUGACGUGAAGAGAUUGAGAAUAAAGCUGACUUUGACUUUUUUGACUUUGAAAUCCACCCAGGCAUGGGGAGAACAUGCUAGCUCCAUAUAGGAAGGCUGGAGCGGGAAUCAAACAACAACAACCUCUGCACUGUGAGGUGGACAUGGUAACCAACCACUGUGCCACCCCUCCCUAUUGUCAUUGUGUUAUAAAUGCUCAACCGUGUCCUUCUUAAUUUAGUCCAUUUGAUUCAGUAUGGUACUGUUUAGCAUCCACAAGAGAUCUCUUUGACCCUGCUCUAAAUGUAUUGCUAUUUAAUUAUAAAUUUAUUUUCAAAUAGACUAGACCACUGGUGUCAGACUCGCGGACCAACUGCGACCCCCGGGACGAUAAUUUGCGGCCCCGUCUUAAUAUGAAAGCUUCACGUUAGUGCGGCCCGCAAGAUUGAUAUGAAUGACACUUGUUGUGUGCAGAGCUGAAUGAACCAAUCAUUGGGAAGUAUAUGGCUCUGGAGGGCAGAAGAUCGGCCGGACUGUCCAGUGCCUCGCUCACUUAUUCAUGUAUUCCUCCAGUCAGCUGCACGGAGGAGAAGCCGUGAAGCCGCUCGGAGGGCAAUCGGAGAGCGAAAGUGCGCAUGCGCCACAGCCCCGCGCAACUGAAAGUUAAAGUUAAACCUGAGACCUACUCCAAGUGGAAUCACAUAUUACAUAGCCCUGUAGUGUUUUGUACUCACGCAAGGUACAAAAUGUAUAAGGACGACGACAUCCAAAACUAAUCUUUUAAUGAAGAUUGCGGGAGCAGGAAAACAUGCUGCAUUCAGGAAGGCGUAUGCUUCCAACAUCCGGCUACGUCACUACGUGCUGCGUAGUCCUGAUGCUACGGACCAAUCAGGACAAGACAUUUGGUAGAUACCCAAUACGAUAGGCUAACGUUACUGGACUGGCAGUCUGGACAUAUUCUAAGAGAAUAUUACAAGCCCCAAAGAUGUCUCUCUCAAAACCUACAGUCAAGAGUAAGGUCUGUGAUGAGCUCAGACAAUUUCAGGAAAAGUGGGGAGUGCAAUAUUGGUUGACCACCCGACGUGUCUUAUUUGCACUGAAAAGAUUGCGGUGCACAAGGAAUAACAUUUGAAACCCCAUUAUACAACUAGACAUUCUGAGGAUACAAAAAAUACCAGGAAGAUGAGAGAGCCAACCAGGUUGCCAGUCUUAAAACAUGUCUACUGAGGCAACAAAAUUUCUUUAAGAAAGCAACCAAGGAGAAUAAUGCAGCAAUCGAAGCUAGCUACGCCAUUAGUGAGAUGAUUCCUAAAGCAGGAAAGCCAUUCACAGAAGGUGAAUUUGUCAAAGAGUUGUCAAGUGGCAUGGUGGCACAAGAUGGUGUAAAAUUGGGUAUCGAAUUUGGCCCAGGCACAUUGGCUAUCCCAAAACAUGUAGUAGUUCCAAAAUUUCACCAGGAGAUGGUGUAAAAGCUUGACACCUGAUGGAAAUUAACAAAUCUAACUAAUUAAAUUGUUAGCAAUUGGGAAGACACGCCCUGUUCAAACACGUAGCAACGCACAAUUUUGGAAUAUGAGUUUGCUAUGCCAUAAUUUUAAGAUGUAACAGUUUGAGCAAUAUUAAUAUAUAUGUUUAAGUUAGAAGAACACAUUAUUAUGGUUAAGUAUGAUUAUGUGUUAAGAUUGAUCUUUACUAGACAAGAUACCGUAAUUUUCGGACUAUAAGUCUCACCGAAGUAUAAGUCGCACCAGCCAUAAAAUGCCCAUAAAAGUGAAAAAGAAAAACAUAUAUAUGUAUAUAAGUCGCUCCUGAGUAUAAGUCGACCCCCCACCCAAACUAUGAAAAAAAAACGCGACUUAUAGUCCGAAAAUUACGGUAUAUGUUAUUGCAUGUUGGAAUGUUUUGUCCAACCUGUAUUUAACGUUGGUGUUCCAUCCAUACCUGAAUGUAUCAAGUUGAGAGGAGACAUCAAGGACUAAUCGUGAAAGAACGAGCAAAACAGGAAACAGCUGCAUCCGGUGGCGGAGUACAGUCAUGCGCAGUGGUUGCUGCUUUGAGCACGGUUGCCAAGACAACCAGUGGUUUCCAGGUGACCUAGACAGGGAUCAGCUAAGGAACAUUCUCGAAACUUCCAGAAAUUUCCACAAAGGCCACCUCACGUGCCAAUGAGGUAAUUCCGAUGAGGUAAUGCCAGAAGCCUAUAAAUAUGUUGUCCUGACACAGAGCGAGGCGGUUCUUCCUAGUCAGGGCGAUGGCCAUGACGCUGCCUGGAGUAAAGAACGUCGUUUAGACGAAGAUGGAUUUUUCAUUCUUUUUGAGAUUGGACCAAAAUCUACUAAAAUGAAUUUCCAGAGUCUUCGAAUUGGACUUUGUCAAAUUUUAAGCUUCGAAUUGGACUUUGUCAAAUUGUAAGCUUCGAGGAAGGCAGAGGAGACAGUCGCUUCGGGCAGAAAGGGGAAGACGCCAAUGUCACGGUGUUGGCUAAGCUCCUCGUGGCCAGACCAUUCUUCUUUUUUAAACAGAAUUCGGAUUUUGGAACAAAGGAGAGCCGAUCACUUGACUUGUUAAACCAAAUAGGAUUUUAGACCUUUUGUCUCCUCUUUUGUUCUGAGACGGGAGGCUGCGCCUACAGGCCUACAGGAGCGACGACUAUUACCUGUUCAAGCAGACCAGAAACACACUGAACCCAGAGGUGAGGAAAGCCAGGAGGUGCUACGGGGAGAGCCUGGAGAGACACUUCUCUGCCAAACCUGAUCCCUCAACAGUGUGGAAAGGUCUGCAGAGCAUCACGGGCUUCAAGAAACGAACCCCUCCUGUGGAGACCCCAAGGCUUGCUAAACAGAUUCUACUGCAGGUUUGAUCGGUCCUCCCACACAACGGGACCUCCUGCAGCACAAUCUACAUACUCACCUCCCCCCACUACUGCUCUGCCCACUCCUCUAUCAACGUUGUCACCCACUCUCUCUCUUGCAGAGGCCACGCCCACACUCCAAAUCCGCGAGGAGGAAGUGUGCCAGAUGUUCCGGAGACAAAAGAUCAGGAAGGCACCGGGCCCAGACGGCGUGUCACCUUCCUGCUUGAAAGUCUGCGUUGAGCAGCUGGCGCCCACCUUUGUACGAAUCUUCAACCGUUCCCUGGAGCUGUGUUAGGUGCCGUCGUGCUUCAAGAACUCCACCAUCGUUCCAGUGGCCAAGAAGCCCGCCAUCACAGGUUUGAAUGACUGUAGACCUGUCGCACUGACAUCUGUGGUCAUGAAAUCUUUCGAGAGGUUAGUGCUGAACCAACUGAAGGAUGUCACGGGCCCCCUGCUUGACCCCCUCCAGUUUGCCUACCGGGCAAACAGGUCGGUGGAUGAUGCGGUCAACAUGGGACCGCACUACAUCCUGCACCACCUGGACACCCCAGGAACGUACGCCAGGAUCCUGUUUGUGGACUUCAGCUCGGCGUUCAACACCAUCGCUCCUGACAUCCUCCAACAGAAGCUCAUCCAGCUUAAGGUGCCUGCCUCCACCUGUCAGCUUCCUGACCAACAGGAGACAGCGUGUGAGGCUGGGGGGCAUCACAUCUGACACCCAGACCACCAAUACUGGAGCCCCUCAGGGAUGACUCUCCUGUGAAGCUCCUGAAGUAUGCAGAUGACACCACUCUCAUCGGACUGAUCCUGAGACUGCGUACAGACAGGAGGUGGAGCGGCUGGUCCACUGGUGUAGCCAAAAUCACCUGGAGCUGAACCCGCUCAAGACCGUGGAGAUGACAGUGGACUUCAGGCGAGACCCUUCACCACUUUUACCCCUCACUAUCCACAGUAAUACUAUUCUCUCCACAGACACCUUCAAGUUCCUGGGAACCACAAUUUCUCUGGACCUGAAAGGGACCGGUCACAUAGACUCUGUCUGGAAGAAGGCCCAGCAGAGGCUGUACUUCCUGAGACAGCUCAAGAAGUUCAACCUGCCGUGAGAGCUGCUGAAGACCUUCUACACUGCCAUCAUCCAGUCUGUCCUCUGCACCUCCAUCACUGUCUGGUUUGGAUCGGCCUCCAAACAAGACAAGCACAGACUGCAACGGACAAUCAGGACUGCAGAAAAGAUCUUUAGAAUCAACCUCCCAUCUAUCCAUUACUUGUACCUGUCCAGGACCAGGAAACGUGCAAGGAACAUCUCUACAGACCUUUCUCACCCAGGCUGCAGUCUGUUUGAACUACUCCCCUCCGGACGGCGUUAUAGAGCUCUGUACGCCAAAACCAGCAGACACAGAGACAGCUUCUUCCCCCAGGCUGUUGCUCUGAACUCACACCACUCUUAGAGCCAGAGUCAUUACUCUGCAAUAACAUCCUGCUCUCCACACCUUUUUUGAAUUGUCUACACUGUUUGUACUAUGUGUCCUCUCUGCAUCCAUUGCAGCCUGGUCAUCCUGGAAGAGGGACCCUCCCAUCUGUGGUCUCUUCUCAAGGUUUCCCAUUUCCCCUAGGUGGAGUUUUGAGUUUUUCCUUCCCCUCUUGGGAGUUUAAGAUCAGGGGAUGUUUGAGAAGAUUUGGGACAACUGGUGGGAUUUUAAGAAUGCACUUUAAUGCACCAGGAUUGUACCUUUUGGCUACAUGCAACAAGAGAUUCUGGUUAAGGUAUGUCAAACUUUGGGCAAUGUAGGAGCCUAGCGCAAGUAGGCUAUGUGAAUGUAUGAGCGUAUGUGUGUGUACUGUAAAGCUCCAUAGUAUGUAUUUAUUCAAAUUAUCGACCAUAUUCUAAUAAUCACCCACUGUGUGUUAGCGAUGACAUAAAUAAAAAUCAUUGAUACCUCUAAUUAUCGCCCAUGUUGCUAAAAAUUCCCCCCAAAUCUUACGUUUUCCUCCGCGACCGCAUGCCGACGUCAUGGCGCAAGUUUAAAUAUGACUAAUUGACAGAACGUUGAAUGUCCCUUUUAAAUUGUUUGUCUCCAUAAACUAUGAUACAAUUACACUCGUCACUCCGCUACAAUAUCCUCACACAAUUACGUUAUCGGGGCGCGCGCUCGAAGAAGACGAUCGCGAUAACAUAACAUGACGUGCGCAACAUGUGAUGUGCGACGGUAACGUGUCGCAUCGAUGGAACGUCAAUUGACGCACCCCGCUGUUAGAUUAAAAGGUAGAUCAAAACAGCGGCUGUUCCAGCGUUAAGAACACCAGUGAGAUGCAGGUAUUGCAUACAACAUAAGGAAAAUAUACAUAUUAUCGCCCUUUUCAGUGCCCCUUGACGAUCGGACAAAAAGUGUUCUCUAUUAAUCGCCCCCCCUCCUGUUGGACAUAAACCUUCUCUAAUUAUCGCUCUGGCUUUUAUGCUUUUUGGUGGGGGCAACUGACGAUGGAAGUGCUCAAAAUAGUAGUGACAGACUGACAAGUGCAGUUUCGUUCGACUUGAAAAAAAAUUGCACAGGUGGCUGAAGAUUUAUGACGGACCGGUAAAUUUACUGAUUAUCAUUAUUUUUUUGCAUUUUAUACUAAUGCAAAAUAGUUGUUUUAAACUAAACAUGUUUAUACGUAUGUACUGUAAGAAAUCAAGAAUGCAUUUUUUACUACUUAAUGUGUUUAGUUUUACCAAGUGUAAAACAAAGUUGUUUAAGGCAAUCACAUGAGAAUUUCUAGUCUACUAAAUCCUAGCUUGGGGUGCAGGUGUCAUGUGGUUUAGUGUGACACAUUGUCUGCUUGGAUUUUUUGGGGGAGGAAAUAACCAAACCAGAGAAAAACAAGGUAAAUAUUUCCAAUCAUCCACAAAAAGUUAACACACGAGGGUUCAGAUUUUCAGACUACUAGCAUAGUCAUAACCACUUUUCACCUCACCUAACAGAGAUAUGUUAAGGAGAACCUGUUACCGACACUCCCAUCAGGUGCUGAUGCCAAUGAAGCAGUCUCCUGAUGCUUACCAUUGAUAUGCAAUUUAUCUAGCACAACUUGCUACGCAGCCUUUUUCUUGCCAUCUUCCAGCAUUAAGUGCCUUCAAUGCCAAUUACUACAUUUUUUGUAGUUGUGGUAGUUAGAAAAAUCCAACUGUUGUCAUCAGAGGUGUGCUGGAGGUCAGAUUUAUCAGCUCAGUGACUCUUGGUUUCUGUAGACGUGUUUUUGUCAAAUCAAGUGUACAAAGCGAAUGUAACAGAAUAAACCACAUAAAUCCUGACAUUAAUCUCUACAUGUGGUGUGGUAGGACUAUAUAUAAAUACAAGUGCAGUAAUUCACAGUUUUUUUAAGGGCUGAAUA